CAGGAGGAAAAGUACUUUGGCAUUGUUUGAUCAACUUUCUGAGCUCCUAGUUAUAUCACAGUCUUAAUUUUGGCAAUGAACUCUGCAUUUUGAAAGAUACUGAAAUAAAAAAGAAUAAUUAACAUAUAAGUGGAAGAAUGGAGUAAACAUGACUGUGGAUGUGUUCUUAGAGGAAGCUGGGUGGUCGUCUUCAAAAGAAGUUGCCAGAAAGCAAAGAGAAAUAGUUUGGAUUGAGACCUACGAACAAGGCAUGGCAUUUAUUUUCUUUCUGAGUCAGAGACCUGUGAAACUUGAAUCAAAUGAUUAAGGAGUGUCGUCCUGAGUAAAUGGUCAUAAAACACGCUUGAAAAAACUAUGAUUCCUCCUUCAGGAGUUCAGUCACAAAGAGAAAAUAGGUAUUUGAAAAGUGUGCUUAUGAUCUUCUGCCUCUUUGUAUUCCUUGGAAUUCUAUUCUACUCUUCUCAUAUUUUUAUCCCUUUAUUCUUUUUGAAUAUAAAGUUAAUUAAUGAGAAAGAGGAAUCUCUUUAUACAG
ensembl:lncRNA